AGAGACUGAUGGAGGUAGAGAGACUGAUGGAGGUAGAGAGACUGAUGGAGGUAGAGAGACUGAUGGAGGGAGAGAGACUGAUGGAGGUAGAGAGACUGAUGGAGGGAGAGAGACUGAUGGAGGUAGAGAGACUGAUGGAGGGAGAGGGA